rnacentral:rRNA from 1 species
UACGUAGGUGGCAAGCGUUGUCCGGAUUUACUGGGCGUAAAGAGCGCGCAGGCGGUCGUUCAAGUCGCGUGUGAAAGCCCCCGGCUCAACUGGGGAGGGUCACGCGAUACUGAUCGACUCGAAGGCAGGAGAGGGAAGUGGAAUUCCCGGUGUAGUGGUGAAAUGCGUAGAUAUCGGGAGGAACACCAGUGGCGAAGGCGACUUCCUGGCCUGUUCUUGACGCUGAGACGCGAAAGCGUGGGGAGCAAACAGG